CUAAUACUCCAUCCGUCCAACAAAAAAUGUCUCAACUUUAACUAAAUUUGAAUGCAUAUACAUUAAGUUAUGUUUAGGUACAUCUAAAUUUUGACAAACUUGAUACAUCUUUUGUUAGACGGAGGGAGUACUAG
rfam:Brachypodium distachyon strain Bd21 chromosome 5, whole genome shotgun sequence.